GACCCAUAGCUCAGUGGUAGAGCAUCUGCCUAGCAUAAUGUUUCAGGUUUGAUCCCUAGCAUCUCCA